rnacentral:rRNA from 1 species
CAGUAGCCGCGGUAAUACGUAGGGUGCAAGCGUUGUCCGGAAUUAUUGGGCGUAAAGAGCUCGUAGGCGGUUUGUCGCGUCUGCUGUGAAAUCCCGAGGCUCAACCUCGGGCUUGCAGUGGGUACGGGCAGACUAGAGUGCGGUAGGGGAGAUUGGAAUUCCUGGUGUAGCGGUGGAAUGCGCAGAUAUCAGGAGGAACACCGAUGGCGAAGGCAGAUCUCUGGGCCGUAACUGACGCUGAGGAGCGAAAGCGUGGGGAGCGAACAGGAUUAGAUACCCGAGUAGUCCCUGUCUCUUAUAA